ensembl:lncRNA
CUGUUUUGAUCUGAUUGGCUGUCUGACCGUGUCUCCACUCAGUGCCCUCCAGUUGCUCUCCAAUCAGGAGCCUGCUUGUGCAUAUCCCCCACACCUGCCAGUGCAUCGACAGUCUCACCCAGUUGCUAUGCUAUAACAACCUGACCCCUCCUAAAACUGUCCAUGCUCGCCCUGACAGAAAAUCUAACCCUGCUAAAACAUGACAUGUCCGAGCUACCCAAGCAGGCACAACAGUACUGCCAAAUUAUCCUCAACAGACUUAACCCAAACACAGUGUCCCAACCCCAGGAAGAUGCCUCCAAGGAGAUGCCUCCUGCAGACCUGUAGUUAGAUUCAUAAAAUGAGUGUCAAAUUAGAUCAACCUUCUCCUCAGAGCACCAAAUCAACUUUCACCUAUCCUGAGACUUCCCGACCACAUCCUGACCCCAUCCUCACCCCUGACCCUUUGACCCCUGACCUCCACAUCUCUGCCAUCAUGCUCUCUACAGUCCCCCCUGCUUCAUCGGGAAGAGCAGCAGCCAUCCACCCACUGCUAAAGUGAACCGAACCCUCUAAAGGGUGAAAUGUCCUGUGCCGUGCUAUUCUGUUCUGUGUUGUGCAAUGCUAUGUCGUGUUGUGCCAUGCCGUGCUGUGUUGUGUCUUUCUUUCACAUCAAUGACAAUAGCCUCUCUAUUUAUUUAUUUUACUUUUUCUACAUUAUAGAAUAAUAGGGAAGACAUCAAAACUAUGAAAUAACAAAAAGGGAAUCAUGUAGCAACCAAAAAAGUGCCAUACAAAUCAAAACCCACCCCACAUUCCAGACUCCCGCUCUGGACACCCUUGGCGAUCUCCCAACCAGCCUCGUGAUAUAAUAGCCUCGUUACUGUUGUACCCAAGUUAUCCCUGGGUUAAGCAAACCCCUUGGUUUCUAGAAUGUUUUCGUCUUCCUACAAAAGUUCUAGGACGCUUUCAAGUAUUGUUUCUAGAAUUUGAAUCUGAUAGUUCUGGGUUGUUGGUGUGUAUCAACAGAACGCUCUUGAGUGAGUUUUCUAGAGUUCUAGAAUAGUCUGUCAGGGAUUCCUCAGAGAGUUCUGGAAUGUUGAUGUGUAUCAAAGUUCUAGAAUCCUACUUCUUCAGAGAACAUUGGUAGGGACAGAGGGAAUGUGCUGCCAGCAGUUAAAGUAGAGGAUGUGGACAGAGACGUAGUGAUGGGAGGGAGUUGCAAAGUCCCCCAGAUCAUCACCUCCCAGGACCCCCUGUCCAUCUCUCUGACCGUGCAUCUCGUCCCCAUGACCAAGCUUCAGGUAAACUGACUAUACACUCUGCUGCUUCAAAAGUCUAUCUGAUGAUUAUAGUAAACUUAGCAAAAAAAAUAAACGUCCACUCACUGUCAACUGCGUCUAUGUUCAGCAAACUUAACAUGUGGAAAUAUUUGUAUGAACGCAACAAGAUUCAAAAACGGAGACAUAAACUGAACAAGUUCGACAGACGUGCCAUCGACAGGAAUGGAAUAAUGUGUCCCUGAGCAAAGGGGGGGUAAAAAUCAAAAGUAUCUGGUGUGGCCACCAGCUGCAUUAAGUACUGCAGUGCAUCUCCUCCUCAUGGACUGCACCAGAUUUGCCAGUUCUUGCUGUGAGAUGUCACCCCACUCUUCCACCAAGGCACCUGCAAUUUCCCAGACAUUUCUGGGGGGGAUUGGCCCUAGCCCUCACCCUCCAAUCCAACAGGUCCCAGACGUGCUCAAUGGGAUUGAGAUCCGGGCUCUUCACUGGCCAUGGCAGAACACUGACAUUCCUGUCUUGCAGGAAAUCACGCACAGAACGAGCAGUAUGGCUGGUGGCAUUGUCAUGCUGGAGGGUCAUGUCAGGAUGAGCCUGCAAUGACAACAAGCUCAGUCCAAUGGUGCUGUGACACACUGCCCCAGACCAUGACGGACCCUCCACCUCCACAUCGAUCCCGCUCCAGAGUACAUUCCUUCGACGAUAAACGUCAAUCCGACCGUCACCCCUGGUGAGACAAAACCUCGACUCGUCAGUGAAGAGCACUUUUUGCCAGUCUUGUCUGGUCUAGCGACGGUGGGUUUGUGCCUAUAAGCGAUGUUGUUGCCGGUGAUGUCUGGUGAGGAUCUGCCUUACAACAGGCCUACAAGCCCUCAGUCCAGCCUCUCUCAGCCUAUUGCCGACAGUCUGAGCACUGAUGGAGGGAUUGUGCAUUCCUGGUGUAACUCGGGCAGUUGUUGUUGCCGUCCUGUACCUGUCCUGCAGAUGUGAUGUUCGGAUGUUCGGGUGUACGGAUCCUGUGCAGGUGUUGACGAUCAGUUGUCUGUCCUGUCUCCCUGUAGCUCUGUCUUAGGCGUCUCAAAGUAUGGACAUUGCAAUUUAUUGCCCUGGCCACAUCUGCAGUGCUCAUGCCUCCUUGCAACAUGCCUAAGGCACGUUCACACAGAUGAGCAGGGACCCUGGGCAUCUUUCUUUUGUGUGUUUUCCAGAGUCAGUAGAAAGGCCUAUUUAGUGUCCCAUGUUUUCAUAACUGUGACCUUAAUUGCCUACCGUCUGUAAGCUGUUAGUGUCGUAACGACCGUUCCACAGGUGCAUGUUCAUUAAUUGUUUAUAGUUCAUUGAACAAGCAUGGGAAACUGUGUUUAAACCCUUUACAAUGAGGAUCUGUGAAGUUAUUUUGAUUUUUAUGAAUUAUCUUUGAAAGACAGGGUCCUGAAAAAGGGACGUUUCUUUUUUGCUGAGUCUAGCUGUACAGACUUGCUCUGUAGUGAUUUUCCUAGGAUGACCCUAAUAUUACUCUCUCUCUUUUUCUCACACAUUCAGCAAAGCUGUGGCUACAGAUGGCUUGCUCCUCCUGGUAGAAGAGAGAAGUGCUGAAGAGGAUGAUGUUUGUGUUGUUGAUGACUUGGAGAUGCAGACCGGCCUCCUGACUGUGGAAGAUGAGUGAGUGAUGCCACACAGGCAAAUGCACAACAUGCAUGCAAAACCAGUGGAGGCUGAUGAGCAGAGGACAGCUCUUAACAAUGGCUGGAACGGAGUAAAUGGAAU